GACGAACGCUGGCGGCGUGCUUAACACAUGCAAGUCGAACGGAAAGGCCUGCUUUCCCUUGUGGAUUGCGGGUACUCGAGUGGCGAACGGGUGAGUAACACGUGAGUGAUCUGCCCCCAACUUGGGUAUAAGCCUGGGAAACUGGGUCUAAUUCCCGAUAGGACUGCAGGGUGGUGCCUGUGGUGGAAAACGAUUUUCUAGUGGUUGGGGAUGAGCUCGCGGCCUAUCAGCUUGUUGGUGGGGUAAUGGCCUACCAAGGCGGCGACGGGUAGCCGGCCUGAGAGGGUGGACGGCCACAUUGGGACUGAGAUACGGCCCAGACUCCUACGGGAGGCAGCAGUGGGGAAUAUUGCACAAUGGGCGGAAGCCUGAUGCAGCGACGCCGCGUGGGGGAUGACGGCCUUCGGGUUGUAAACUCCUUUCGACCGCGAGGAAGCCACCUGGUUGGAAGCGUGGUGACGGUAGUGGUAGAAGAAGCACCGGCUAACUACGU
rnacentral:rRNA from 1 species